AGACAUUUUCUGUGCAAAUAGGACAUUUCUGAGGCAAAUCGUACACUUCUUGAGGGAAAUCAAACAUUUUUGAGACAAACCAGACACCUCACAGGGAAAUGAGACAUUGAUGAAGUAAAAUCAGACCUUCCUGAGGGAAACCAGACAUUUUCUCAGGGAUAUCGGUCAUUUUCUGACGGAAGUCGGUCAUUUCUGAGGCAAAAGACAUUUUCCUGAAGGAACUGGGGCUUUUCUGAGGUAAAACCAAGGAGAAAAGGGUGAUUUUUUUUUUAACUGUUCAGUCUCUCCGGACGCGGCGGAGGUGACUCGGCGCUUCCCCCGCCCAAUGCGGAGCGCACGGAGCGAUGGCGCCGCGCCCCCGCCCCCGGCGCCGCCCCCGCGGCGACUGCGGCAAAACCAAGGGAGGGCCCUGGUGAGGGGCGGGGUCUCCGCGCGGACCCGCCCAGGGCGCCUCACUCUCAGAUCCCUCCGCGCGCGGAUCCCUCCGCGCCUCACAUGGCCACGUCCCACUCACCUCGGAUCCCUCCGCCGGAUCCUUCCGCCGCCGCUCCCGCCCCCAAAUCUCUUUUUUUUUGCUUGUAAAUGGGCGUGGGGGAGGGGCGGAAUGAAAGUCGGGGCUGUGGGGGAGGGGAGCGAGGUGGGGGAGGGGGUCUGUGCCCAUUUAGCGGCGGUCUGAGGGGGCCCCGCGGCGGAGGGGACGCGAUGAAGUUUCCCCCCUGCUCGCGCCCCUUUUCGUGAGGAAACGCCCCAAAAAUGUCGGAACAGCUCCUCCCACACCCCCAAAAUGCCUCAUCGCUUUCAUCAGCACCUUUAAUUAGCCCCAGAGCAGCUUUAAUGAAUGAUAAUUAAAAGGUUGGGGGGGAGGGUUGUCCCCUCCCUGUGCCAGCACUUUUGGGGUGUCAUUUCCUGCCCGGAAACGCCUCAAAAUGCCAAAAAAGUGCCUUAAAAUGCCUCAGAAUAGUGGGGUUUAAUUCUCCUUAUUGAAAACAGGGACUUCCAUGACUCAGCAUGGCCUGAAAUGGGGUGAAACACGGAGAUUUUGAUGCAUUUCUGUCGUAAAAAAGGAAAUUAAAAUAGUGGUUAGGGCUGUGCUAUAUCAGGGUGGGAAAAGGGGUUUAAAAAGUGUUGUUUGGGCUUUUUGGGGAACAAAAACUGGUGAAAAUUGGGCUUUGGGUCUGUGUUCCCUCAAGAACUUUUUUUUCCCCCCAAUAUUUGUGACCCUUUUGAGGAGAAACGGCGCCUUUUUGGCAGCGGCCCAGCCCCGUGACGCAGCAAAAGCAAAAACCAGAGUAAAAUGAAUGACUAAAAACCAAAAAACCUCCAGAAUCACCCGGGAAGGUCGAAGCGAGGGAUUUUAGGGCAGAAUUGGCCAAACCAAACGAAAAAUCGCCGUUCGAUUUAACCGUUUUUGUGCUGGACCGCGUGGGGCGGCCGAAGGCCCACGGCCGCGGGGGGAGGGGGUGGCGCGGUUUGUGAGGGGAAAAAAUCAAAGAAAGGGGUAAAAAAAGUGAAAUCAUGAAAAAAUGAGCUUUUUCACACUGCGGGUGGUGGAUUGGGUGCGGGGAUUUUGGGGGUUGCUGCCCUUUUUUGGUGAUUUUAGGGACUAUUUUGUCGCCCCCGCGGGGGCGGCGCCGGGCCGUUUAUAAGGCAGGGCCCCGCGCCGGCAGCGCCCGGCCGAGAAGCAGCCCCGAAACGGCCCCAAUUCGGCCCAAAAGCGCUUAGAGCUGCUCCAUUUUAUACAAAAAAAGCUCCUAAAAUGGCUUUAUUUCCUACCGAGAGCUCAAAAAAUGGCUUUAUUGCCUACGAAAAGCUCUUCAAGCUGCGAUAUUUUAUAGAAAGAGCUCCCAAGACUGCUUUAUUUCACAAAAGCGGCUCUUAAAUAUUUAUUUAAAGAAAAGAGACAAAAGCUGUUUCCUUUAAGGAAAUCUGAGCUUUUAAAGCUGCUUUCUUUCAAUAUAAAUCCUUAAAUUGCGGCGAUUCCAGUAAUGGGAAAAGCCGAGGCGAGCCGGGGCACUUUUAAUUGAAAAAAAUGAAUGAAAAACCUUAAAAAAGCUCUUAAAGCUGGUUUUCAUUUAAACCGAAGCUUCUAAUGCUGGUUUUAAAGAAAUCGCUGCUUUCAAAGCCGAUUUCUGGGAGAAGAGGCAGCUCUCGCAGCUCUUUAAUUCUUAAAAUAUCUUAAUGUGAUAUUUUCAAAAAGCCGGAGCGAGCUGGGGCGAUUUUAAUUUAAAAAGAGCUUUUUAAGCUUCUUUAAUUUAAAGAAAGAAAAAGCGCUUGAUACGCUGUUUUCUGCUAAAAAAGCUCAUAAAUUUAAUUUUUUUUAAAAAAAGCUCCUAAAGCUUUUUUAAAAUGUAGUUUUGUCCCCAAGUGGGGCCGGGCCGGGCAGCGCAGGCGGGGGCGGCCGGUUUGGGGUGAAAUGCGGCAUUUUCAGGCUCAGGAUGGAUUGAGAGGAGCCAAUUUUGAGGGAAGAGCAGGAAAACUGAAGAGUGAAGAUGGAGUCGGCAGGGAAAGAAAAGUUUUUCUUCGCAGUGGCCCCAUCUGGGGGGAAAAAAGGACUUUUUGGUAAAAUGGCGGCAGUUGGGCAGGAGAGGAGGAGAGAGAAGAGAGGAAACGAAAGGACAGAAAGACAGAAAAUAGAACAUAAAAGAGAGAGAAAAUAGAAGAAAAUCAGAAAAAAAA